GUCUCCAGACAGCAUUGUCUUGUAUUUGUGAACCAAUCUAAGUCCAUCUGCUCACGUUCAAGCUAUAAAUGAGCAUCGUCGUACACAAGCUCUAAGAUGCCGACAGGAGCUGGGGGAAGUGUCAUCCGGUCAAAUCCCAAAAGUCUCCCUCAAUCUUCCAACCAUGGGCCAUUGGUGGGGGAACAUCAGGCUGAUUCUUCAGGGACCUUCUGUAUAUGGCUGCCAGCAGAUCUGCAGAGAUGGCUUCUGAUGCUACCUGACCUGAUGUAACAUGCCAUGUCCUUGACCUCCAUUGUGAUGGCUGCUCUCUCGUGCUGUGUCAGUGUCCACCUGUGGACUGCACCUUUGUUCAACAAAAAACCUGAAAAGAACCACAGCAGCAUGAACCGGACGCUGGAAAGAUGCAGACCCCAGUUUGCCUCUUGUGUGGCCCUGACAAAUGAUAGCAGAUCCUCUACCAUUUCAAUGUAGGAACUCCAAAACUGGAAAGGCACUUUGGAGGUCAGCAGCAACUUUUAAAGCAGCUUCACGGCAGUCUUGAGAAAGGGUUUCAAGACCCAGCAGCAAUAACGUCAGCCUCAAUCAGAAUGUCUUGUAAGCCAGCAUCUCCAAAUCGCUUGCCAAUACAGGACAGGAAAGCCAUACAUGUGUGAAACUCCCCCAUUCUAAUUGUAAGUCUUUCCUUGUAUGUUUCACUCUUCCACCGUAUCUCCUGAGCUUUGGCAUAGAUGGCUUGGUCAAAGACUAGAACUAUCUCCUGAAGUUGGAGUCUGUCUGCAAUUUCUGUUGAUCUUUUAAGGAUGGUUUUUGCAGUUCCCAAUUCUGUAGGACUUGCAUCAAUCACUGGAAGGUAGCCGAUGUUGGUUGGUGGUGGAAUUGGAUCUCCACGGAUCACUGUGUUAAAACCAGUCCAGGAAGGAAGGACUUUGCCAUGGACUGCAGUUUUUAUCAGGAAGUAGGCACCAUCUAAUUUUUGUGCUGAUUUCCUGGUAAGGAUGUGGGUGUCUCGAUUUAGUUCCAAUUCUUUUCCAAAAUGUUCUGGGCCUGUUCUCUUCCCUCUGAUGUAUGUCUCAAGGUUAGUAGGGGGCGGAUCAAGAGACCUCUUUCUUGUUUUCUGUAAACACUGAUGGUCAGGGGUAGGUUCAUUACAUGGAAUCAUUUUUUGAAUUAUUAUGCCAUUUGUAUUGUGUGUAGUCCCCUUACCAGAUAACGUUUCCUCUCCAACAUCAUUAUUGUCCCAAACUAGAGUUGCUUGCAACUGUACUUGCAUGUUUUUGGGGAUGUAAGUCUCACCUCGUAGUAUUUGUAACUGUGCUAAAGCUGUGUCAUGUUCAAGUACAGUACAGGCCAAAAGUUUGGACACACCUUCUCAUUCAAUGCGUUUCCUUUUUAUUUUCAUGACUAUUUC